AGGAUGAACGCUGGCGGUCUGCUUAACACAUGCAAGUCGAACGGAGUAGCAAUACUUAGUGGCGGACGGGUGAGUAACGCGUGAGAAUCUACCUUCAGGACGGAGACAACAGUUGGAAACGACUGCUAACCCCCGAUGUACUGAAAAGGCAAAUAUUUAUAGCCUGAAGAAGAGCUCGCGUCCGAUUAGCUAGUUGGAGAGGUAAAAGCUCACCAAGGCGACGAUCGGUAGCUGGUCUGAGAGGACGAUCAGCCACACUGGGACUGAGACACGGCCCAGACUCCUACGGGAGGCAGCAGUGGGAAUUUUCCGCAAUGGGCGAAAGCCUGACGGAGCAAGACCGCGUGGGGGAAGAAGGCUCUUGGGUUGUAAACCCCUUUUCUCUUGGGAAGAACGCAAUGACGGUACCAGAGGAAUCAGCAUCGGCUAACUCCGUGCCAGCAGCCGC
rnacentral:rRNA from 1 species